rnacentral:rRNA from 1 species
GACAGAGGUGCCGAGCGUUAGGCGGAAUCACUGGGCUUAAAGCGUGUGUAGGCGGUCCGGUAAGUCCGCUGUGAAAGUCGGGGGCUCAACCCUCGGAUGCCGGUGGAUACUGUCGGGCUUGAGUACGGAAGAGGCGAGUGGAAUUCCUGGUGUAGCGGUGAAAUGCGCAGAUAUCAGGAGGAACACCAAUUGCGAAGGCAGCUCGCUGGGACGUUACUGACGCUGAGACGCGAAAGCGUGGGGAGCAAACAGG